rnacentral:lncRNA from 1 species
AUUUGAUCCAUAACUUAAUUCUCAAUCAAGUUAGCUUAUAUGUUCAAUCAAAUCAAGUACUUUCAAAUAGGAUAUAUAAACAUAGGUCAAUUUCUUCCUACUUUGUCUAACUUGUGUGCGUGACCCCAUAAGUUCAAAUACUAAGCUGGUAGUAUAAGAACUAAUUCCUACACUAAUCGAGAUACCAUCUAGCAAUGGUUCC